rnacentral:rRNA from 1 species
UACGUAGGGUGCAAGCGUUAAUCGGAAUUACUGGGCGUAAAGCGUGCGCAGGCGACUAUGCAAGACAGAUGUGAAAUCCCCGGGCUCAACCUGGGAAUGGCAUUUGGGACUGCAAGGCUGGAGUGCGGCAGAGGAGACUGGAAUUCCUGGUGUAGCAGUGAAAUGCGUAGAUAUCAGGAGGAAUACCGAUGGCGAAGGCAGGUCUCUGGGCUGACACUGACGCUCAUGCACGAAAGCGUGGGGAGCAAACAGG